CCUACGGUGGCUGCAGUGGGGAAUAUUGGACAAUGGGCGAAAGCCUGAUCCAGCCAUGCCGCGUGUGUGAAGAAGGCCUUCGGGUUGUAAAGCACUUUCAGUGGGGAAGAAAGCCUUGGGGCUAAUACCCUCGAGGAAGGACAUCACCCACAGAAGAAGCACCGGCUAACUCCGUGCCAGCAGCCGCGGUAAUACGGAGGGUGCGAGCGUUAAUCGGAAUUACUGGGCGUAAAGCGCGCGUAGGCGGUCUGAUAAGCCGGUUGUGAAAGCCCCGGGCUCAACCUGGGAACGGCAUCCGGAACUGUCAGGCUAGAGUGCAGGAGAGGAAGGUAGAAUUCCCGGUGUAGCGGUGAAAUGCGUAGAGAUCGGGAGGAAUACCAGUGGCGAAGGCGGUCUUCUGGACUGACACUGACGCUGAGGUGCGAAAGCGUGGGUAGCAAACAGGAUUAGAUACCCCGGUAGUC
rnacentral:rRNA from 1 species